CAGCCUUACCAUGCUGAAACACUGGUUCCCAUAUGAUCACCAAAGUUAAGUAACGUUGAGUCUGGUCAGUAUCUAGAUGGGUGAUCGCUUGGGAAUACCAG